GAUAGAGCUAACACAGCAGCAGUAGCUGGGCAGAGGGAGAAGAGAGACCUCCUGGCCAAUCAUAGAGAGUCCCCGCCCCCUGCAAAGCACUGCUGGGAAGAAGAUUGGUGGCGUGCAUGUGGGCCGAGAGCUCUGCAGGGUGAGAGCAGAGGCAGCAGAGCCAGCCAGCCCACAGCAAAGUAACAUUGGACAGAGGGGGAGCAAAGUACUACCACGUUCCACAGUCACAUACACACGCUGCUGGGGAGAGAGAGGAAACCUCUGUUCCAGCACUGCAAGACCACACCUGACAAUUUGAUUUAACCUACCUGUGGAAGAACAAGAGGAUGGAUAGCAAGGUCUGGUCGAUGUUGCUGUUGCAGAUGCCCUCAUUCAGGAGAUAGCAGGGGUCCCUCACUACAGGUUCUAGAGAGUCCUGCCUCAUGAUGGUGUUGAGCUUAUCAGUGUUGAAGUUCUCGAAGACCAACUUCUUCCGUAGCUGGCGAAAAUUGCUUACGGUUGGACUGCCAAGGUUGUUAUUCUGUCCGCUGCCUUCAUCCAUCUCACUCUUGUUAGCUAAGUCCAAACAGCAGCUGCAGCAAUCCAGACCGAUGGGUGAACGGCAGCCUUCUUCCUCUGACAUGUCUCUGGAACUCUCUCUGACACACUCAGUGCUACUCCAAAGACGGAUGACAGUAAACUCUGGACUUAAGGCUGUGAUGGAAAAUCUGAAGAAAUAAAGUUUCCACUUGCUGUUUUCUGUAUAAAUAGUCUAAUUUGUCUCCAGGUCUGAUAAAAAAAACAAGAUCAACUUCCUUGUCUAGGUUUGGCAGUAAAGUUGUUCUGCUUAGCAGAGCAGGAGAAAGAUCCAGCAGUUGCUUAUCUGCUCAGUUGAAUGUGCACAUUCUGUAUACACACCUCUCUGUGCAGAAACCGGGAAGAGAUUCUCUCUUUAAUAGGCACAUCCAAGUAGUGAGAGGCUGAAAUGCAGUCCUCUGACUCCCCCAGAGGCAGUGCUACAGUGAAAGGACUUUACAUAAGAGGACACAAGUGAGUGCAGAUUGGGACAGACUCAUGUGUGUUUUACGAUAGGAGGGGAAAAAAAACGAAAGACAUGUGUAAAGAAGGACUUGAAGAUUUGUAGUACAAAAGCGAUCCUUCCCAGGAAUGUAUCAUUAGCAGUUCUUGUGUUGCUGACUAGGCAGCAUUUCUUUCUGACAAAAAACCCCCAUCAAACAUAUCAAAAAUAUUGCCAAACAAAAGUAUCUCUGACAGGUGGGAUGGCUCAGAAUGUGUACCUGUAGUUUAUUAGCAUAAAGGAAGCCUUUGAAAAACUAUUGGAGCUAUCUGCUAUCAAGCCCCUGAAAUUUGUGGACGAUGCCACGUUUUUUGGUCUCAUCUGGUUCUCGCGGCGCAACGGGACCCGAGGCUUGAUCGGGUUGCCCAGCAACCAUGACGUCACGAACAAAGCGACUUGCUGACGCACCCAGAAACCGACGGCCCGGGACCCCGCGUGAUACCGCACGCUGCACAUACACAGGUAUUUAA